GAAAUGCGAUAAGUAAUGUGAAUUGCAGAAUUCAGUGAAUCAUCGAAUCUUUGAACGCACCUUGCGCUCCUUGGUAUUCCUUGGAGCAUGCCUGUUUGAGUAUCAUGAAAUUAUCAAAGCGAAUAGUUUGUUAAUUCGACUGCCUUUUGCUUUGGACUUGGGGGCCUGCAGAUUUCACAGUCUGCUCCUCUUAAACGCAUUAGCUGGAUUCUCGGUGAGCUCGGUUCCACUCGGCGUGAUAAGUAUCACUCGCCGAGGACACCCGUUAAAAAAGGUGGCCAGGCUCGCGGACGAACCGCUUCCAACGGUCUAUUGACUUAGACGAUGAAUUUAUGAUCUGAUCUCAAAUCAGGUAGGACUACCCGCUGAACUUAAGCAUAUCAAUAAGCGGAGGAAAAGAAACU
rnacentral:rRNA from 1 species